rnacentral:rRNA from 1 species
CACGGGGGGAGCAAGCGUUGUUCGGAAUCACUGGGCGUAAAGGGCGUGUAGGCGGUCAAGUAAGUGGAAUGUGAAAGCCCCCGGCUUACCCGGGGAUCUGCAUCCCAAACUGCUUGGCUUGAGUACGGGAGAGGAUAGGGGAAUUCCUGGUGUAGCGGUGAAAUGCGCAGAUAUCAGGAGGAACACCGGUGGCGAAGGCGGGUCUCUGGGCCGAUACUGACGCUGAGGAGCGAAAGCGUGGGGAGCAAACAGG